rnacentral:misc_RNA from 1 species
GAUGAAGAACGUAGCAAAAUGCGAUACUUGGUGUGAAUUGCAGAAUCCCGUGAACCAUCGAGUUUUUGAACGCAAGUUGCGCCCGAAGCCUUUUGGCCGAGGGCACGUCUGCCUGGGCGUCACGCAUCGCGUCGCCCCCCACAAUUCUUCGUAAGGGGAACUCGUGUUUUGGGGGCGGAUAUUGGUCUCCCGUGCUCACGGCGUGGUUGGCCGAAAUAGGAGUCCCUUCGAUGGACGCACGAACUAGUGGUGGUCGUAAAAACCCUCGUCUUUUGUUUCGUGCUGUUAGUCGCAAGGGAAACUCUAAGAAACCCCAACGUGUCGUCUUAUGACGGCGCUUCGACCGCGACCCCAGGUCAGGCGGGACUACCCGCUGAGUUUAAGCAUAUCAAUAAGCGGAGGA